rnacentral:rRNA from 1 species
AUUGAACGCUGGCGGCAUGCCUUACACAUGCAAGUCGAACGGCAGCACGGGAGCAAUCCUGGUGGCGAGUGGCGGACGGGUGAGUAAUAUAUCGGAACGUGCCCAGUCGUGGGGGAUAACGUAGCGAAAGCUACGCUAAUACCGCAUACGAUCUAUGGAUGAAAGCGGGGGAUCGCAAGACCUCGCGCGAUUGGAGCGGCCGAUAUCAGAUUAGGUAGUUGGUGGGGUAAAGGCUCACCAAGCCGACGAUCUGUAGCUGGUCUGAGAGGACGACCAGCCAAACUGGGACUGAGACACGGCCCAGACUCCUACGGGAGGCAGCAGUGGGGAAUUUUGGACAAUGGGCGCAAGCCUGAUCCAGCAAUGCCGCGUGCAGGAUGAAGGCCUUCGGGUUGUAAACUGCUUUUGUACGGAGCGAAAAGGCUUCCACUAAUACUGGGGGCUCAUGACGGUACCGUAAGAAUAAGCACCGGCUAACUACGUGCCAGCCGCCGCGGUAAUAC